AUGGCAAACACAAGUUGCUGCAAUACAUACAAACCAAACUUGAUGUACCAAAAUAAAAUCAGCAGCAUCAUUAACCAAAACAUUGUGAAAAUCGGAAAUAAGACCAAAAAAAAAAAUGGAAAGCAUAGCAGAACAAAAAUCAUUAAAAUUCCAGCUCAACACAUAACCAAAUUCGAUCCAUAUCGUUCAUUAGAGGAAGAUAGGGACGGAUUCAGGUUCGCGAGGAAGAGAUGA